UACGAAGGGGGCUAGCGUUGCUCGGAAUCACUGGGCGUAAAGCGCACGUAGGCGGGUCCUUAAGUCAGGGGUGAAAUCCCGGAGCUCAACUCCGGAACUGCCUUUGAUACUGGGGAUCUUGAGUCCGGAAGAGGUGAGUGGAACUCCGAGUGUAGAGGUGAAAUUCGUAGAUAUUCGGAAGAACACCAGUGGCGAAGGCGGCUCACUGGUCCGGUACUGACGCUGAGGUGCGAAAGCGUGGGGAGCGAACAGG
rnacentral:rRNA from 1 species